GAGGGGGAGAUGCUGGAGAUGGGGAAGGGUUUAUAGGGCUGGAGCAGCCACCUCUCACCAUUCUGCAGUCUUCAUCCUCUGUCCUUUCCAGCAGGGUCUCCCCUUCAGCUACUGGCACCGCAGUGGCAGGACGCUGGAAGAGGGACUUGGCGUGCGGGCGAUCCUUACGCUGGCGGGAUGCAGGGGAGCUAAGCUGCCCUGGUCCACCUUGUCUUCUGUGGG